rnacentral:rRNA from 1 species
UACGUAGGGGGCAAGCGUUGUCCGGAUUUACUGGGCGUAAAGAGCUCGUAGGUGGUUUGUCGCGUUGUCCGUGAAAACUCACAGCUUAACUGUGGGCGUGCGGGCGAUACGGGCAGACUGGAGUACUGCAGGGGAGACUGGAAUUCCUGGUGUAGCGGUGGAAUGCGCAGAUAUCAGGAGGAACACCGGUGGCGAAGGCGGGUCUCUGGGCAGUAACUGACGCUGAGGAGCGAAAGCGUGGGGAGCGAACAGG